UACCAGCACCCCGAGUAGUCGGGACGAUUAUUGGGCCUAAAGCAUCCGUAGCCGGUUCUGCAAGUCCUCCGUUAAAUCCACCUGCUCAACAGAUGGGCUGCGGGGGAUACCGCAGAGCUAGGAGGCGGGAGAGGCAAACGGUACUCAGUGGGUAGGGGUAAAAUCCUUUGAUCUACUGAAGACCACCAGUGGCGAAGGCGGUUUGCCAGAACGCGCUCGACGGUGAGGGAUGAAAGCUGGGGGAGCAAACCGG
rnacentral:rRNA from 1 species